GAGAGAGAGAGAGAGAGAGAGAGAGAGAGAGAGAGAGAGAGCCAUCUACAUUGCCAUCGUCGUCGCCGUCCAUGGCCUUUUCCCUUUCUCUCUCUUUUGAUUUAAGCUGACACACACAAUGGAGUAAAAAAUGGAGUUUCAAAGCAACACUCAUUGCUUCACGGAGACCACCACUUCACUGUCAGCCUGUGUUACCUCUACUUCCCUGUUAUCUAUCCAUUGCUACUUGUUGUGUUGGAAUUUUAAGGUUGCAAUACCCCCUCUUCUCGAAGGUUUGGCCUCAUUCCAAUGGUGGCAUAUGAGGACAUUUUGUUUUUUCUGAUCCUUCCUGUUGCUUAAGGCGAUGGUAUGUUUGAGACCACUUUUCUUGCAAUGAUGAUAAUUUCUUAUAAUAUAAGCAUGAUGAGAAAACAAAUCUACUCGCUCUUGGCAAGGCAACCCGGUUGGCCGAUAGCAUCGGUGCAACCAGAGUUCGUAGGCAUGACGAUGUCUCUGUCCCCUUGCUUGGCAAUACUACAUACUGAGCCUAAAAAGCUUCUUUUACUAAUCACUGGCUUGUCAGUACUUCUAUUCAGGCUCUGAUUUUUGCUCUCUUGUUGACCUAUGUUGAGUGUUAACUGACUGCUCUUACCCUCCUCGCAGGCUCGCACAAACACUGCACUCACCUAGCCAGACCUCUCUGCUCUUUCUCCCCUAACACUGCUCUCUUCUUCUUUUCCUCUUGGCUAUUAUUAUGGUUUGAGUUAUUUUCCUGUUUGUCGGUAUUUUUCUUAAGUUCGCGAUGCUAAGGUGGAUUUCAUAACUGAAAAGUGAUAAGAUAUCACCGCUUUCUUUAAGUCUGAAAAGAAAUAUAGAUUCUUCGGAGUUUAGAAUCUCUGUUAAAGGUAUUAAUAAAGGUAUGCAUUAUGCCUUAGAAUACAUGUCUAUAAUUUGAGGUAGGUAACUGUUGCACUUUUGAGGGUUAAAUAAGUUGCAUUCUUGAGACACCUUUGAGGCAAAUUAAUGGUUCAUGUGAGGCAAGCAUAUGGUAUUUUUUGAGUUGCUAUUUGAUGAACUGCUACUACAUUUGAAUGAGUUUUGUAUCUGCACUUUGAGAGUUGUUUAUUGUGUUUGAAUGAUUGCAUUUACAACAAACAUAUGUGGCCUUUGAGAUAGAAACUCCUAUACUUGAUUGGUGCCUACUUUUUCCAAACAAGAAUUGAUGCUACAUUGCGAAAAUCCUGAAUAAAAAUUGUUGCACUUUUAGUCAUUUUGCUGUUGUAUGUUGGGGUAAAACUGUUGCUCUUAAUAUAUAGUUGUGCAUUUGAUAGAAGCUGUUACACUUGACAUGAUUGCUGUCUUUUAGAAUGCAAAGAAAUACAACACUUGAGGAUGAUUCUGAAUCAGGUUACUACUGCCUUGAGCCCUGCUAUUUUGUUGCUAUGUUCUGAGCCAUCUUUGUGGCAUUUUGAGCCAAUUUGUGGCUUCAUGCUUGGCUGCACCAGGAGAAAAGGUGUUCUUUGCUAUACGUAACUGCUGAUGCUACUGCAUCUUGAGGCAUGACUGAUUCUGGCAUUUGUAACCCCAUCCCAAGGCUAUUCAUAGAUGUUGUUUGUGGUUGCUGUUUUCCUAGGAUAAUCUGGUUCAUUUUGAAUAUGUUGCUGAUCAUCAGUUUGCUAUGGCUUCUGUGUUUAAACAGAUACUACACUAGACAAGGUUGUUGUUUUGAUAGCUGCUGAGCCUUUCUGAUCGUUCUGCUGGUGUGUUAUGUUGGCUGAAACUUGAAGAGAAGUCUAAUUUAUGCUUUUCCCACAUCAGUUAUCCGCAUAAAUGGUAUCCACAAAUUGCAGACAUAUUUAUGCAUUGGAGAUUUUGACCUGAUGAAUGUUGAAGGAGUUACAAGAGGGAAUGUGGCAAGCCAUCUCUAGGAAAGAUAUCAAGAAGUAUUACGGGAAAAAUCACAGUCUCAGUCUGAUAUUGAUCAAUGUGAAGCAUAUUACGAAGCUGCUGGGGGAACAAGGAAGAGAAGAAUAUAUGAUCUUGGAUCUCAAGCACAAAGUUAUUAUGGGUCGAAUCUUUGCGUCAAUUUUGGCUUUAAUCUUCAGCAUCAGCAGCACCUUCAACUUCUCAAUCAGCACCGACAGAAAAUAUGGAGGAGUUAGUGAUGCAAUUGAUUCCUACACUGACUGAUCGCUUGCUUCCUUUAUUUAUUGCUAACGUUGACGAUGUUGAUCCUUUAGUUUCUGAAAAUGAUCGUAGUCCUUCACCCAUGCAUUAAUUUUUUAUGUUAUCUGCUUUUUGUUGGAAAGAACAAAAUUAUGCACUAACAAUACUUGAUGGAUGUGUGGGUUGUUUUGGUAGUUGAUAGCUUGGUGUUGUCGGUGUUUUGGACUUAACGAUUAGG